UUCCCUGGAUAUCUUUCCACUACUGAAAAUGUGCUUUUCACUGAUGUCCCAGCAGGUCUUGCUGCUUGGAGCAAAGUGCCAGCUGGUGGAAUAUUCCAAAUUAUUGGUUUCAUUGGUGCCAUGGAAUGCCAGGUAAU
rnacentral:ribozyme from 1 species